rnacentral:lncRNA from 1 species
GAAAAUGAAAACAGAAAAUAAAUGAAUCAGUCUUUACAAUUGCCAAUACAAAUGAAACCAAUUAAGCAAAAGAAAAAAGAAAAUGAAAAGCCAAUCCCCCGAGCCCCCUUUCUUGUUGCAUUAGUUGCUACUAAGACUCUUCCUCUGAAUCGUCUUCAGCAAAUAACCUUUCAAUCCUGAGCCUCUAGUUAUUUCACGAGUUCAUCGAAUCACGUUCUCCUUUCCUGAUCCGGACUCAUCAUGAACGCCUCAUCUGCCAUUGUUGCUAUUUCUGUCCCUAUUUACCAGAUCCUCCAUCUCGCUAGGAACCUCUUCCAUCCAGUACUGUGGGUCAUCGAAUUUCCAGCCCUCCUUUGCCAGUCCGUGCACUACUCUGUUAGCCUCUCUCUGUAUGUGCAAAAACUUUAUGCUUCUAAAACUGCCUGCUUUUCUUUUUAUUUCUUGGAUAUAACCCCGGAUAUAAGAUCUGUCCUCUAAUUCUAGGUUUAUUUUCCGAAUAACUGUCAACGCGUCACUCUCAACAUCUACAUCUUGAAAUCCCAGUUCCUCUGCCAUGUUGACUGCCUGUAAACACGCUCUAGCCUCGGCCGUAGUCGGAUCCGUCAUAUUCACCCCUGGGUAAGUGCACGAAGCCAUAACCUCUCCAUUAUUGUUUCUCGCGAUGAUUCCAGAAACUGAUUUGUGUUGACUCUUGUUGAAAGCUGCAUCAAAAUUGAUUUUUAUUCUGUCUCCUCUGGGUGGCUGCUAUGUUUUAUUGCAAAUCUCAUUUCUGCUUUUCAACACUUCACUCAUGUGUACAAUUUCGGCAUAAUAUGCAUUAAUAAAUCCCACGGUUUCAUGCACUUGAGCCCUACAUCCCUCUUGACACACUUUGUUUCUGUUAUGCCAAAUAGCCCAUAAAAGAAUAGUUCUUUUUGUGCACUCCUCUUAGGUAAGAUGUUUAAAUACCGACGCUAACCAAAAGUUCCAAUAUGUUUCCCUGUUGCAUGUUGAGGAACUACAUCCCAGCUUCCCUGAGACUUGUCGAGUAAAAAAACAAUCCCGGAAGAUAUGGCUCACUGUCUCCUCCUCUCUUUUGCACACUGGGCACAACGUGUUAUUCACCAGUUUGCGGAUUCUCAGAUUAUACAGAACCGACACAUACUCCUUGGCCACUCUCCACAAGUGGACUCUGGUCUUACUUGGCACCUUAAUGACCUAAAGUCUUUUGUAAAACUUAGCCAGAGGAUUUUGCUGUAUAUUGGAAACUUCUAUUGUAUUGCUCCAUUUGUAUCCAUUUUUUGCUGUAUAUACCCUUGUAUUAUCCCCCCUCCAAACUAAGGCAUCUUGUGACUCGUUGUUCGCCAGUGGAAUUGCGAUAAUUCUCUGCGCUUGUUCUUCCCCAAAUAAAGAUUGGAUUUCCUCUUGUGUCCAGGUAGCAGAAUCUCUAUCAAUUAAAUCUGACACCUUAUAAUACCUUAUAUCGAUUUGCUAACAUCGAACUCUGCCAUUUCCAGCUCCCGGGAUCCAUGCAUCAUUCCAUAUAUUGACACCCUGGCCAUUCCCAAUUCUCCAGCCAAUUCUCUCUUCCAGUAGUCAUUGGGCUCCCCAGAUGCUACGCUAGGUAAACGAAGGGUAAGAACCUAUUCUUGCACUCAGAAACUCCCCUUGCGGGAAGUACUUUGCUUUCAUUACUCAUGCAAAUAAACAAUCUGGUUGCGUAAUGAUCUUCCAUCCCUGCUUCGCUAAAAGGGCCGUAUUAAACAUAGACAGGUUUUUAAAACCCAACCCACCUUUCGAUUUAGGAAUGCAUAUAUCACUCCACUUACACCAAUGAAUACCUCUAUUAUUCUUAGAGUUGCGCCACCAAAAUUUACUUAUAAUAUUUUCAAGAUCUUGCAAAAUGAAACCGGUAAUUUAAAGCAUUGCAUCGCAUAUAUUGGAAUAGCUUGUAAAAUGGAUUUGAUAAAUACCUCCUUUCCUUCAG